UACGUAGGGGGCAAGCGUUGUCCGGAAUCAUUGGGCGUAAAGAGCGUGUAGGCGGCCAGAAAAGUCCGCUGUGAAAACUCGAGGCUCAACUUCGAGCUGUCGGUGGAAACUUUCUGGCUAGAGUCCGGAAGAGGAGAAUGGAAUUCCUGGUGUAGCGGUGAAAUGCGCAGAUAUCAGGAAGAACACCCGUGGCGAAGGCGGUUCUCUGGGCAUUACCUGACGCUGAGGAGCGAAAGCGUGGGGAGCAAACAGG
rnacentral:rRNA from 1 species